UGAACCGGAUAUACCUGUUCAUCAACUAGUGGCCUAAAUAAUGUAUCUGACAGAAAAGUUCUAUCCAUCACUUUUUAAUUGUAUCUCUCUAACAUUUAUGAUUUCAAACAAGGAAGCAGAGCUAUAACAAAGCAGCCUCUGAAAAUUGUUGGCCGAUUGAUUGUUCGCAAGUUACAGGUAAAUGUCUCUCAAUUUUAAUCUGUGUGUUUUGCUCUCUCUAUCUGGAUCAAUAAUUUUCUAGGGUUUUUUUUUUUUUUUUCUGGUUUUUCUACAAUCUGUUUGGUUGAAUGAGAACAAUAGAAAAUUAAGAGAUAUACUUGGUGCAGUUUUCUGCAACUGCCCCUGCUAAUAGCGAUUUGUCGCUUUGGAGAUCUGUGUUUAAGGAACUUCAUAACUUCUUUAUUGCUUCGUCAAUUCAGUACACUAAGUCAAUGAUUAGGUUCAGAACUUUAUGAUGUGUUUAGGUUACGUAAAUUUCUUCUGAUUUAUCUACUGUUGGGCUAGCAUGUAUAAAUUGCUGUUCCAAUGAUGUCUUGGUUUUCUUGAAGUUUGGUCUUUGAACAGAGGGUUUCAUAUUGAAGCCCCAUUACCUUACCACCCCCAAAUUGCUACGUUAUAGGGGCUUCAUGAGUUUUUUGGGGCUACUGUGUUGAUUGUCACUUCCCUGUGAAUUCCACGUUCUCAUAUGAUUAGAGCCCUAAAACGUAUCCUGGAACUUACCACACACCUCUCUCUCUCUCUCUCUCUCUCUAUAUAUAUAUAUAUAUAUAUUUUUUUUUUUUCCGAAAAGUUAAGCAAUUUAUAUAAUGAAAAUGAUGCAUUGAGACAAGGCCCAAAAAGGGAAAAUGUAAAAGAUACAAGACCAUGAAAAGGUCCAACACAAAUUCAACCUAACCAACCCCAACAAGUCCAAGAGACCAAGAGGCCCAAAAACCCUGAAGCCAAACAACUUUAAGUUGUAACUGUAAGUUGCUCAGCAAUCACCAACUCCGGCAAGACAAGCCAUGUCUGGCAUCAAGCAACCUCACUGCUGCAAUGGUGGCUCAUCCGGAGGACGAGGAGGCGGACGGAUGAAGGAAGAGGGAAGAUCCCAGACCUGACGGGCACGUCGAGCAGCCACCCCAUGCUUGAGUGACAAGGGCAAGAGUCUUUCUCUGAUGGAAUUAGUGAUAUUCAACAGGACAGAGUUUUGAUUGCUUGAUAUGUCCUUGAAGAUUCUUGAAUUCCUCUCUACCCAGAUGUGAUAAAUGGAUGCUGAAAGUGCCAGUUUGUUAAUAGCAUUUGCAAUGCUCUUUGAUGACCAGUGAUGUGAAGCCCAAAAAAUGAAAUCAUUCCACUGAGAUCUUGUGUAAAAUCCACAUAUGUUUUGUAAGUGGGACCAAAUUGGAGCAGUGAAUGAGCAUGAGAAGAAGAUGUGAUUCAGGGAUUCUCCAGAGGAUAGGCAUAGUGCAGUGGUUCGGUAUGAGCUUGUAUGCCAUGGUAUGGCUAUCAAGUGUGGGAAGUUUGUUUAGAACUGCUAGCCACAGGAUGACUCUAUGUCUUGGGAUUAACAGUGAAUUCCAUACUAGCUGAUACCAUGGGGCAGGGGGAGCAGGUAGAGCUAGUGCUUCAAUUGUGUGCUUGAGAGAGUACUUGCCUGUUGAUGAUGGCCUCCAGAUGAAUGAAUCAAUACCUGAACCAGCAAAGGGAAUGUGUUGCAGGCUUGGUAGAAGUGAGAUUAUGUUUCUUGGGAAGUUCCAUGUAUGUGCUGACAUAUAACCAUUCAGUCUAGCAUUGAGAGGGAUUCCAGAAGUGUCAAUUUGAGCAUGGGAGAAUCUGUUGCAAAGAGGGCUGUCCUCUAACCAAUUGUGAUGCCAGAAGAUCAUUGAGGAUGCAAAAGACUCUUGGGGGCACAAUUUGCCUCGAUAUAUGGAGCAUGCAAGAGGUCAGCCAGCCCAUUGGGAAAGAAGGUGGGACUUUGGCCCAGUUUCUUGGUACUGUAGCAUGGAAAGGUGACUUGUUGCCACUCACUUGCUCUGUUAGAGCAAAAUACCAAAUGCAUCUUUGGAGGUCGUUGGGAAAAUAGUUUUGAUAUGAUAAACAGACUAUUUUUCUCUUUGCAAAUGAUAAUAUUAAUGUUAAAAUUGAUAUUAAAUUGUUUACUUCUAUGGUGUGUGAGAAGUUUGAUCUUCCACCAUAUGCUAGAGAUUGGGUGGUACUAUCUAUUGCUAACAAGUGGAAGGAUUGGAAGGCAGAGCUGAUGAGGAAGCGUUACAUGACACAUGAGAUUGACGAAGAACGUCUAGCAGAUUGGGAUGAUCCAGUCCUUCCAGAUCAAUGGCGGUUACUUUUGGAACUCUGUCGAGGGACAGAAUCAGUUCAAAGAACGAGCAAGCCAGCAACCAACACAAUCUGCUGUAGCUAGGGAUGACUUAUUCUCUCAAGUUAUGGGAGAAGAAAGACAUGGUAGGUUCUGACUCCAUCAGAUUUGUUGGCAUUCAGAUUAGAAGGGAAUCCAAUGAAGAGGUGCGUGUGUUAAAAGAGCAUAUGUAGAUAGUUAUGAAGAUUGCACAAUUGGAGGGGGAAAAGAACACUAAUAACUCAGACCAACAAGCUCCUACUAAAUCAUAUCCUCAACCUUCUAACUAUUUGGAUUCCCAACAGGAAGGAGAAGAAAAAACAAAAUCGAAGCCAUUAGACAUCCUUCACGAUCUCAUUUCUUCUCAUCAGUUGCAUCACUUGCAAUGACUCCCUGACUUCAAGACUCGUUGUUUGGUACAAUGGUAAAAUCGGGUUGUCAAGUAUGUUGAUAUAUGUGCUUUUUAUAUCUGCAGGUUCAGGGUCUGAUUGAAGUUCUCUUGUUGAGUUCCGAAACCCUACUUUUGUCAAUGGUUUCUUACUUAGAGUAGUUCCCGUUGUGGCAUAAGGAGCUAUUCUAAGUAAGAAUCCGGUGUCAAAAAUAAGGGACAUUGAACUGGGAAGCAAAAAUUUUGGUACCGAUAGCACGACAAGAGCCUUUACCGAGACUGGAUGAGCGUUUGAAAGUAGUUGGUGAUUCUGGUGGUGCAAGUGUUGCUUCGCCAUCUUCUCGUGUACGUUCUUCUCAGUUCUCUGUCAAUUGUUUUUUCAAAGAAAGAGGAACAAAAUAUUGUCAUUCCACUUUCUAAGUUCUGUUAAAUUUGUAUCUUUCAGUUCCUUUCCAUCCUGCCAAGGUUUUUUCGCUAGAAUUUAAUCCUAGAACAACAUAUUAUUUCA